UACGGAGGAUCCAAGGCGUUAUCCGGAAUAACUGGGCGUAAAGAGUUGCGUAGGCGGCAGGUAAAGCGGGAGUGUGAAAUCGUGUGGCUUAACCAUACGGCUAUGCUCUGAACUCACCAGCUAGAGAGCGAGAGAGGCUAACUGGAAUUCCUAGUGUAGGAGUGAAAUCCGUAGAUAUUAGGAGGAACACCGGAUGGCGUAGGCAGGUUACUGGCUCGUUUCUGACGCUCAGGCACGAAAGCGUGGGGAGCAAAACGGG
rnacentral:rRNA from 1 species